rnacentral:rRNA from 1 species
AUUGAACGCUGGCGGCAUGCCUUACACAUGCAAGUCGAACGGCAGCAUGGAGAGCUUGCUCUCUGAUGGCGAGUGGCGAACGGGUGAGUAAUGCAUCGGAACGUACCGUGUAAUGGGGGAUAACGUAGCGACAGUUACGCUAAUACCGCCUACGACCUGAGGGUGCAAGCAGGGGAUCGCAAGACCUUGCGUUAUACGAGCGGCCGAUGUCAGAUUAGCUAGUUGGUGGGGUAAAGGCUCACCAAGGCGACGAUCUGUAGCGGGUCUGAGAGGAUGAUCCGCCACACUGGGACUGAGACACGGCCCAGACUCCUACGGGAGGCAGCAGUGGGGAAUUUUGGACAAUGGGGGCAACCCUGAUCCAGCCAUGCCGCGUGAGUGAAGAAGGCCUUCGGGUUGUAAAGCUCUUUCGGCCGGGAAGAAAUCGCACAGGCUAAUACUCUGUGUGGAUGACGGUACCGGCAUAAGAAGCACCGGCUAACUACGUGCCAGCCGCCGCCGUAA